rnacentral:lncRNA from 1 species
CUCUUCCUAAAUCCCGAGCGAAAGCCCAAGCUGAACAUGAACUCUGCCCGGAGGCGACGGGCUGCGGCGGAGGGGGAGAGAGAGGAGGACAGGCUGCGACCCCGGGCUGGGGACGCCAGGGCAGGGACAGCGAGCAUCAGGAAGGAGAGCGUCCGGGGAACUCGAGUGGCCGCGCCCUGGGUCCUGCACCGUGAGGCUGGGGGGACCAGGACCGGCGGGCGCCCACCUUGGUCCUGAGCCCAGCUGCCGACGCUGGGCCAGCACCCUCUCCACCGCCGCCCUCCAGUGAGCAGAGCUGGGCUCAGGCAGCAGCCCCUGGGCGCGGGAAGGUAGCGGGAGCUGCAUUUAGGGGAGGGGGGAGGUAGCAGGAGCUCCGCCAGUGGGAACCUUGGAGUGAAUUCGUCGGCGGGUGCCAAGUCGAAGCGCCGACCUCCUGUCUCUGGACUGGGGCCCGGACCCCUGCGUCCCCAAACUGCGUCCCCGCCUUGCUCGUCGCCCGGUGCCUUCCUUAGGCGCAGCAGACCCUCGGUAAACAGCGGUUAAUUCGAUGGAAUCGGAUCACAGGGCCCUCGGUGAAGCAGAAAGGCGGAGGAAAUCCAGGAGGCAGAAGUGAGGACCCUGGCGCCUGGCGCCGCUGCGUUGUUCGUAUAAGAAGAGGCAUCCCGGAAGGGGCUUCAAACCACUUAGGACCGACUGCUGAAACGAAUCCAAGCUUGUGGUGUCUGCAGAAUUUAACUGUCCGCCUCAACCCCAGUUUUUGUUUCUAAGAUUAUCGAAAACUGUGCGGUUUGAGUGAUGUGCUACAAAGUGUUUAAAACAGAUUGUUUCCCAAAUUAGGGGUUUCCACACAAGAAAUCGCUGCUGUCGGCAAACACAGGAACUAUCUAUGGUUAAGACAAGGUGGUGUUCGUAACCAAACUAUAAACCUACAUAUACGAGGUGGUAAGAGAACCAGACCAAUGAACAGUUUCAGGCUGGCGUGGUGUGCCCGUGAACAAAGAAUUGUAAUACUGGCAAAAAUCUAAAUUGCUUUCUUUCCCUUUAUUUUCUCAUCACUAAAAUUAGGAAAAUGAACAGAUAUGUCAAAUCUCUUCUAACACCCAUGUUCUGUAACUCUCCUCGUAUGUACCUUAUAAUAAGACAAAGGUAAAGACAUUUCCAUGUGCAGCGAGGAAAAGUAAUAAUAAAAAUUAAAACAACUAGCAAGUAUGAAGCCCUCUUUUUAUACGGUAUGUGCUGUAUAAGCACUUCCCUCAUCCACCUCUAUGUUUUCACAGCACCUCUCAAGGGCUUGGACACGUGCAAAUGCAAACUGGCAAAGCCAGGAGUCAAGCCAGGCUGCUCAGUGGCCUUUGUGCUUCACCCCAGUUUAAUGCACCCGUCUUCAGAAGGGACAUCGUGUAUUAGGUGCUUCAACACAAGAUCCACGAAUAUCUCGUACAUCCCUAAAAUCAAGCAAAUGUCAUCUGAACCCAAUUACUGGGACAGCCCCCUCAUUACUCCCACUUACUUUUAGCCGUAUCUUCCCCAAUCCAAUCUCAAGUGUGAGCCCCAAAAUACUUCUGAUUUUUCACGCCUCCACUUAAAAAUCUUUUGAUUAUGUCAUAUUGCCGUUAGGGUAAAGUUCAAACAACUCAGCUGAUUUUGAGGGCUACAUUGGUGGGUGGUGGAGUACUGCCCGCUUUCCCUUCAUACUGUCAUGACAGUGAGGUUCUGAACUGUUCUUUGUGCAAACCCCACACGCUCUCUGCUCUCUCCAUUCCCAUUUUUGCACGUGUGAGUCUGCUGUCUCCUCUUCUUUGCUUCUCCUUUUCCUAAGAUUUGCCAAGCCAACUACUCUACACCUCCAUCGGAUUUUAGUUUACAUGUCUCUCCCCAUGUUUCUCCCCACUAGAAGCCUCCGUUGAUGAUCCCUUUCUAGACUGUGAUGGACGUACCUCCCAUAGCUCCCAUUGCACCAUUGUACUAAACUUGGACCACUGCAACUGUCAUGUGUCUAUUUAUCCCACAUGUAUAUAAACGCUAUAUGUUGUUUAUCACUAUAUCUUCAGUAAUAAUAAACAGGUAACAUAAUUGCAUAAGUGUGUAUAUCAUAGACCAUCAUGAAGUGUUUAUUGACUGAGAAAAGAAAUAUACAUCGUUGUGAACAUAAUGAAAGACGUCAUUUUUCAGAACAAACAGUUUGAUAAUAGAUGGUAUUGAUGAGGGGGUAUGAAAACAAAUGCUUCCUCAAAUUUUUGAUAUACUUUAACUAGUAAAAUCUCUCUGAUGGUAAAUUUUACAAUAUCUAUCCAUGUUUGAAAUGCAUGACCUAAUUAACUAAGCAAUUUCACUUCUAAAAAUUCGUCCUCUGAUAUACUUGUAGGUAUACACAAGGAUUUAAGAUUGAAAACAACCUAAAUUGUUAUUCAUCCAAACAAUGGAAUUCUCUGGAACUGUCAAGAUACAUAAGAAAACAGAUCCUGAGGCAAAACUUACAAGCCAAGACUUUAUGUGAAGUUGUAAUUCCAGGACUCAAGAAUGAAGGAAAAAGAGAAUCAAGGCUGAAAAGGAGGGGAAAGUAAAUUCAAGGUGGCGAGUUAUGAAUGACUACAGCAUCACAAAACAACAUACCUGCUUUCUUGGUCACCAGCACUUCUUCCAGACAGGACCUACAUCAUUAUAUCCAGAAACAUUCUGUCCACAGGAGAGAGUGGAGAUUCUCUGCCAAUGUCUUCUUGUCUCCUGUUGAAACUGGUUGAAGUUUGUCCCUUAGAGAACUAAUUAAUUCACCCUCACCUCCAGGUUCUGUUACUGGCUCUUUAUGGCAACUGCUAGGGAACCCAGAUCCCCCAGUGAUUGGAGGAACCUCUGAGGAUACAGACUGAUUGCACCUGAGCACCAAACUUGUGAGUCUCCUUCUAAUGCAAUCUCAGUGGAAUCCAGUCACUGGGAGAGGCUGAGGUCACUGGCACAGUUGGGAUAUGAGGCACUGGCAAUGGCAAUGGUGGCUUGGGCUGGCCACUGAGCAAGCAAAGACACAAAGGUGUGAGAGAAUAGAUGGAAGCCAGCCAUUCUGGGGACAUAAAUUGUGUCUUAUGUGCUCCAAUUCUUCUUAUCAUUCAGGUCUUACUUCUCAUGUUAUCUCAUCAGAGAAGCCUCUCGCUCCCUAAACUGCCCUUCUCAGCCAUUAGCUAACAUAGAACUGUGUCUGUGUUAAACUGUUCCCGUGUUCAACCUAGAGUUGAAGAUUGUCAGACUUAUAUCAUGGCCAUAAAAAAUAUGAAGCUACAGUGGGAGCUUGCUGAAUUAGUAUGGAGAAAAAUAUUUUAGGUUCUAUUGAUAGGAAUUGAUUUCAACAGGCAGUGUCUAAGCUAGAUUUAACUAAAAAUAGAACUAUUAUAUUGCAAGGAGGGAAGAGGUCUUUAGAUUACCCAGUCCAGCCCCCUCUCAUGCAUGGUGCUCCCACAGCAUCUCUUCAUGUGAUUUUUUUUUUUAGACUUAAACAAUUGAAGUUACAGAGGAGUCACUACUUUCUAAGACAACCUAGUCAUUUUCAACAGGCUCUGUCAUAAAGUGCUUUCCAUUUUUUUUUUUUAUCAUUAUUCCUCAUUCGAACUGCUGGUGUACCAAAAAAACCUAUGUAUAAUUUACAAUGACUGUACUUGAGCAGCUAGUUUGCGGGGGGCAAAUUGAGGAAUUAGCUUGCAUUCCCACUCAAUUUCCUCUUGCUGUGUUCUGACUCUCACUCUCUCAGGCAAAAGUCUUUGGGAUCCAGAGUCUGACAUUCAUUGCAUUCACUAUUUUUCUUGGUUACUUAUCAAGAGCAGGCCUGAUCUGCAGCAAACUCAAUGAAGUCACCAAUAAAUUUCCUCCCAAAAAGGAUAAGGUUGGCCUCAGAAUGUGCAAUGCACUCCUGGAAACCUUAAUUCAUUCUGACAGUCAUUUGUUUUACAGGCAGUUGGUAAAUGUCUACUUGUAAUUAUAAUGUACUGUUCAAGGUACCAGUAAUUCAGUGAGGAAAAACUAAAGACCCUGCUCUUUUGGUGCUAAACAUUCCAAUGUUCCACUAAUUAAUAACUUCUGUGUAUAGUUAUUAAAAUCCAUAUUAAAACAUUCAGCUGGACUCUCAUUCAAUCUGCAUUCCUGUAUUUGUGUGCAAAGUUUGGUUGGUAAACUAUGCCUAAUAUUCUUUUUAUUGCAUUUCCCUAAGGUAUCAAACAAGAAAUGCUAUCAAGGAAAAUGAUGCUAAUCUAAUAUGACUUUUUAAUUAAUCCAUUUAGAUUUGCAGGGAACAUAUAUUUACUGUUUCAGCAUAUUACAAAGACUUUUUGAGCCUCUUCGUGUAUGAACAUUCUGCUAAUGCUAAGGAUUCAAAGAUGGAUACAAUUAGAUAACUUCCCUGGAAGAGACUACCAUUUAAUUGUAAUAAAUGAAAACCAUUUCCUUUCGUCUUCACUUCUUUUUACGUAGAGUAAUGAAAGUCAAGUGGCAAACACCUUGACCUUUUAACUUAAAAGCCAUUCACAUUCCCUUUCUCCAUCUUCCUAGAAUAUAGAGAUGUACAAGAUGAAAUGCUUUCUUUUCCACUGCCCUUAAGUGAAGUGUGACUAUGUGACCUGGUUCUGAACAAGGAGAUCAAAGCCAAAAUAAUCAAAUGGAGCUUCUUCUGGAGAUGUGUUUUAUUAGUACAGAAAGAUAAUAUGCCCUCUCAGUCCUUUGCCCUUUUCCUUCUUCAUGCUUAGAGAGGAGCUCAAUGCCCACAAGUAUAAUAACCGUCUUGCAACCAUGAAAAUGAAAACCAUUCACUAAGCAUGGAAGAGUCAGAAAAUGUAAUAGGCCUUAGUCCUUGAUGACUUCUUUGAGCAGUUGCCAGCCGACUACAGUCCACCUACUGCUAGACUUUUUAUUAUGUAAGGAAAUUAAACUCUGAUCUGUAUAAGCCACUGUUAAGUGGAUUUAUUUUUUUCUUUACUUGCAGCCAAAUGCAUUCUUAUAACAUGGCACAAAUAAAUUCAGAAAAAUACUUGAUAUAUUGAUUGAAAUAUUCAUAAUAAUCCAUAUAAAAUAAGAUAUUUGGACUAUCUUGUCCCUAAAAUUAUACUUUUAUGGAUAAUUUCCAAACUUAACUAUAAAAUUAG